rnacentral:tRNA from 1 species
GGGGGUGUAGCUCAGCGACAGAGCACUUGCCUAGCAAGCUUGGGGCCUUGGGUUCAAUCUCCAGCACCACCA